AUUGAACGCUGGCGGCAUGCCUUACACAUGCAAGUCGAACGGCAGCACGGGGCAACCUGGUGGCGAGUGGCGAACGGGUGAGUAAUGCAUCGGAACGUACCUUUCAGUGGGGGAUAACGUAGCGAAAGUUACGCUAAUACCGCAUAUUCGGUGAGCCGGAAAGCAGGGGAUCGCAAGACCUUGCGCUGAUUGAGCGGCCGAUGUCAGAUUAGCUAGUUGGUGAGGUAAAGGCUCACCAAGGCGACGAUCUGUAGCGGGUCUGAGAGGAUGAUCCGCCACACUGGAACUGAGACACGGUCCAGACUCCUACGGGAGGCAGCAGUGGGGAAUUUUGGACAAUGGGGGCAACCCUGAUCCAGCCAUGCCGCGUGAGUGAAGAAGGCCUUCGGGUUGUAAAGCUCUUUCGGCCGGGAAGAAAUCGCACGGGCUAAUACCCUGUGUGGAUGACGGUACCGGAAUAAGAAGCACCGGCUAACUACGUGCCAGCCGCCGCAGUAAAAC
rnacentral:rRNA from 1 species